CAAGAACCGAUGAUCGAGAAUAGUAAUUAAGAACCACAUGAAAAGAGAAGGAACGCCGUGGCUGAAAGCGUUUCUACAUGAUGACUUAAUGAAUGAACACUCAGUAGGUUUCACUCUGAAAAAGAACGAUGUCUUUAGUAGGAGCUGGACGUGUACAGGCGUUAACUGUUUGAGCGGGAGCAAAGUUUGCUUCAACUAGGGUGGCACCACGGGAUUAAUUACAUAACUCUCGUCCCUUUG
rnacentral:ncRNA from 1 species